UACGAACUGUGCAAACGUUAUUCGGAAUCACUGGGCUUAAAGGGUGCGUAGGCGGCUGUCUAAGCAGGGUGUGAAAGCCCCCGGCUCAACCGGGGAAUUGCGUUCUGAACUGGACGGCUGGAGUGGGAUAGGGGUGUGUGGAACUUCCGGUGGAGCGGUGAAAUGUGUUGAUAUCGGAAGGAACGCCGGUGGCGAAAGCGACACACUGGGUCUCAACUGACGCUGAGGUACGAAAGCCAGGGGAGCGAACGGG
rnacentral:rRNA from 1 species